rnacentral:rRNA from 2 species
UCUUUUAGAUAUUGGGUAGGGGAGCGUUCUGUAAGCCGUUGAAGGUGAAUCGUAAGGUUUGCUGGAGGUAUCAGAAGUGCGAAUGCUGACAUGAGUAACGACAAAGGGGGUGAAAAACCUCCUCGCCGGAAGACCAAGGGUUCCUGUCCAACGUUAAUCGGGGCAGGGUGAGUCGACCCCUAAGGUGAGGCCGAAAGGCGUAAUCGAUGGGAAACGGGUUAAUAUUCCCGUACUUCUGACUAUUGCGAUGGGGGGACGGAGAAGGCUAGGUGGGCCAGGCGACGGUUGUCCUGGUUCAAGUGCGUAGGCUUGAGAGUUAGGUAAAUCCGGCUCUCUCUAAGGCUGAGACACGACGUCGAGCUACUACGGUAGUGAAGUCAUUGAUGCCAUGCUUCCAGGAAAAGCCUCUAAGCUUCAGAUAGUCAGGAAUCGUACCCCAAACCGACACAGGUGGUCGGGUAGAGAAUACCAAGGCGCUUGAGAGAACUCGGGUGAAGGAACUAGGCAAAAUGGUACCGUAACUUCGGGAGAAGGUACGCUCUUGAUGGUGAAGUCCCUCGCGGAUGGAGCUGACGAGAGUCGCAGAUACCAGGUGGCUGCAACUGUUUAUUAAAAACACAGCACUGUGCAAAAUCGCAAGAUGACGUAUACGGUGUGACGCCUGCCCGGUGCCGGAAGGUUAAUUGAUGGGGUUAGCGCAAGCGAAGCUCUUGAUCGAAGCCCCGGUAAACGGCGGCCGUAACUAUAACGGUCCUAAGGUAGCGAAAUUCCUUGUCGGGUAAGUUCCGACCUGCACGAAUGGCGUAAUGAUGGCCACGCUGUCUCCACCCGAGACUCAGUGAAAUUGAAAUCGCUGUGAAGAUGCAGUGUACCCGCGGCUAGACGGAAAGACCCCGUGAACCUUUACUACAGCUUGGCACUGAACAUUGAACCUACAUGUGUAGGAUAGGUGGGAGGCUAUGAAGACGUGACGCCAGUUGCGUUGGAGCCGUCCUUGAAAUACCACCCUUGUAUGUUUGAUGUUCUAACUUAGACCCAUUAUCUGGGUUGAGGACAGUGCCUGGUGGGUAGUUUGACUGGGGCGGUCUCCUCCCAAAGAGUAACGGAGGAGCACGAAGGUGGGCUAAUCACGGUUGGACAUCGUGAGGUUAGUGCAAUGGCAUAAGCCCGCUUAACUGCGAGAAUGACGGUUCGAGCAGGUGCGAAAGCAGGUCAUAGUGAUCCGGUGGUUCUGUAUGGAAGGGCCAUCGCUCAACGGAUAAAAGGUACUCCGGGGAUAACAGGCUGAUACCGCCCAAGAGUUCAUAUCGACGGCGGUGUUUGGCACCUCGAUGUCGGCUCAUCACAUCCUGGGGCUGAAGUCGGUCCCAAGGGUAUGGCUGUUCGCCAUUUAAAGUGGUACGCGAGCUGGGUUUAGAACGUCGUGAGACAGUUCGGUCCCUAUCUGCCGUGGGCGUUGGAAGAUUGAAGGGGGCUGCUCCUAGUACGAGAGGACCGGAGUGGACGAACCUCUGGUGUUCGGGUUGUGUCGCCAGACGCAUUGCCCGGUAGCUAAGUUCGGAAUUGAUAAGCGCUGAAAGCAUCUAAGCGCGAAGCGAGCCCUGAGAUGAGUCUUCCCUGACAGUUUAACUGUCCUAAAGGGUUGUUCGAGACUAGAACGUUGAUAGGCAGGGUGUGUAAGCGUUGUGAGGCGUUGAGCUAACCUGUACUAAUUGCCCGUGAGGCUUAACCAUACAACACCCAAGG